rnacentral:rRNA from 1 species
GACGAACGCUGGCGGCGCGCCUAACACAUGCAAGUCGAACGAGCGAGCGAGAGCUUGCUUUCUCGAGCGAGUGGCGAACGGGUGAGUAACGCGUGAGGAACCUGCCUCAAAGAGGGGGACAACAGUUGGAAACGACUGCUAAUACCGCAUAAGCCCACGACCCGGCAUCGGGUAGAGGGAAAAGGAGCAAUCCGCUUUGAGAUGGCCUCGCGUCCGAUUAGCUAGUUGGUGUGGUAACGGCCCACCAAGGCGACGAUCGGUAGCCGGACUGAGAGGUUGAACGGCCACAUUGGGACUGAGACACGGCCCAGACUCCUACGGGAGGCAGCAGUGGGGAAUAUUGCACAAUGGGGGAAACCCUGAUGCAGCGACGCCGCGUGGAGGAAGAAGGUCUUCGGAUUGUAAACUCCUGUUGUUGAGGAAGAUAAUGACGGUACUCAACAAGGAAGUGACGGCUAACUACGUG